CCUACGGGCUGCAGCAGUGGGGAAUCUUAGACAAUGGGCGAAAGCCUGAUCUAGCCAUGCCGCGUGUGUGAUGAAGGCCCUAGGGUCGUAAAGCACUUUCGCCAGGGAUGAUAAUGACAGUACCUGGUAAAGAAACCCCGGCUAACUCCGUGCCAGCAGCCGCGGUAAUACGGAGGGGGUUAGCGUUGUUCGGAAUUACUGGGCGUAAAGCGUACGUAGGCGGAUCAGAAAGUAGGGGGUGAAAUCCCGAGGCUCAACCUCGGAACUGCCUCCUAAACUCCUGGUCUUGAGUUCGAGAGAGGUGAGUGGAAUUCCAAGUGUAGAGGUGAAAUUCGUAGAUAUUUGGAGGAACACCAGUGGCGAAGGCGGCUCACUGGCUCGAUACUGACGCUGAGGUACGAAAGUGUGGGGAGCAAACAGGAUUAGAUACCCCGGUAGUC
rnacentral:rRNA from 1 species